rnacentral:rRNA from 1 species
AGCGAACGCUGGCGGCAGGCCUAACACAUGCAAGUCGAACGAACCCUUCGGGGUUAGUGGCGGACGGGUGAGUAACACGUGGGAACGUGCCUUAGGUUCGGAAUAACUCAGGGAAACUUGUGCUAAUACCGAAUGUGCCCUUCGGGGGAAAGAUUUAUCGCCUUUAGAGCGGCCCGCGUCUGAUUAGCUAGUUGGUGAGGUAAUGGCUCACCAAGGCUACGAUCAGUAGCUGGUCUGAGAGGAUGACCAGCCACAUUGGGACUGAGACACGGCCCAAACUCCUACGGGAGGCAGCAGUGGGGAAUCUUGCGCAAUGGGCGAAAGCCUGACGCUGCCAUGCCGCGUGGAUGAUGAAGGUCUUAGGAUUGUAAAAUCCUUUCACCGGUGAAGAUAAUGACUGUAGCCGGAGAAGAAGCCCCGGCUAACUUCGUGCCAGCCGCCGCCGUAAAAC